rnacentral:rRNA from 1 species
CCUACGGGUGGCAGCAGUGAGGAAUAUUGGUCAAUGGGCGCGAGCCUGAACCAGCCAAGUCGCGUGAGGGAUGACGGUCCUACGGAUUGUAAACCUCUUUUGCCGGGGAGCAAGCGUGCGUUCGUGAACGCGCGUCGAGAGUACCCGGAGAAAAAGCAUCGGCUAACUCCGUGCCAGCAGCCGCGGUAAUACGGGGGAUGGGAGCGUUAUCCGGAUUUAUUGGGUUUAAAGGGUGCGUAGGCGGGAUGCCAAGUCAGCGGGAAAAAUGCGGUGCUCAACGCGGUCGAGCCGUGGAAACUGGCGUGCUGGAGGGUGGGAGAGGGAGGGAGAAGGGGUGGGGUAGCGGUGAAAUGCGUAGAG